rnacentral:rRNA from 1 species
GAUGAACGCUAGCGGCAGGCCUAAUACAUGCAAGUCGAACGGUAAGGCCCUUUCGGGGGUACACGAGUGGCGGACGGGUGCGUAACGCGUGUGCAACAUGCCUUCCAGCGGGGGAUAUACCAGGGAAACUUGGCGCAAUACCCCAUAGAAUUACGGGACCGCAUGGUCUUGUGAUUAAAACUCCGGUGCUGGGAGAUUGGCAUGCGUGACAUUAGCUAGUUGGCGGGGUAACGGCCCACAAGGCGACGAUCAGUAGGGGGUGUGAGAGCAUGACCCCCCCACAUGGGUACUGAGACACGGACCCAACUCCUACGGGAGGCAGCAGUAAGGAAUAUUGGACAAUGGGCGCAAGCCUGAUCCAGCCAUGCCGCGUGAAGGAUGAAGGCGCUCAGCGUUGUAAACUUCUUUUGGACGGGAACAAUAACUUCGACUUGUCGAGGCUUGAGGGUACCAUCAGAAUAAGCACCGGCUAACUCCGUGCCAGCAGCCG